rnacentral:rRNA from 1 species
AGCGAACGCUGGCGGCAGGCCUAACACAUGCAAGUCGAACGGACCCUUCGGGGUUAGUGGCGGACGGGUGAGUAACACGUGGGAACGUGCCCUUUGGUACGGAACAACUCAGGGAAACUUGAGCUAAUACCGUAUGUGCCCUUCGGGGGAAAGAUUUAUCGCCAUUGGAGCGGCCCGCGUCUGAUUAGCUAGUUGGUGAGGUAAAGGCUCACCAAGGCUACGAUCAGUAGCUGGUCUGAGAGGAUGAUCAGCCACACUGGGACUGAGACACGGCCCAGACUCCUACGGGAGGCAGCAGUGGGGAAUCUUGCGCAAUGGGCGAAAGCCUGACGCAGCCAUGCCGCGUGAAUGAUGAAGGUCUUAGGAUUGUAAAAUUCUUUCACCGGGGACGAUAAUGACG